AUGAGCGCUGGCGGCGUGCCUAAUACAUGCAAGUCGAGCGCACAGACGAGGAGCUUGCUCCUCUGACGUUAGCGGCGGACGGGUGAGUAACACGUGGAUAACCUACCUAUAAGACUGGGAUAACUUCGGGAAACCGGAGCUAAUACCGGAUAAUAUAUUGAACCGCAUGGUUCAAUAGUGAAAGACGGUUUUGCUGUCACUUAUAGAUGGAUCCGCGCCGCAUUAGCUAGUUGGUAAGGUAACGGCUUACCAAGGCAACGAUGCGUAGCCGACCUGAGAGGGUGAUCGGCCACACUGGAACUGAGACACGGUCCAGACUCCUACGGGAGGCAGCAGUAGGGAAUCUUCCGCAAUGGGCGAAAGCCUGACGGAGCAACGCCGCGUGAGUGAUGAAGGUCUUCGGAUCGUAAAACUCUGUUAUUAGGGAAGAACAAAUGUGUAAGUAACUAUGCACGUCUUGACGGUACCUAAUCAGAAAGCCACGGCUAACUACGUG
rnacentral:rRNA from 1 species